GACGAACGCUGGCGGCGUGCUUAACACAUGCAAGUCGAACGGAAAGGCCUGCUUUCCCUUGUGGAUUGCGGGUACUCGAGUGGCGAACGGGUGAGUAACACGUGCGUGAUCUGCCCCCAACUUGGGUAUAAGCCUGGGAAACUGGGUCUAAUUCCCGAUAGGACUGCAGGGUGGUGCCUGUGGUGGAAAACGAUUUUCUAGUGGUUGGGGAUGAGCUCGCGGCCUAUCAGCUUGUUGGUGGGGUACUGGCCUACCAAGGCGGCGACGGGUAGCCGGCCUGAGAGGGUGGACGGCCACAUUGGGACUGAGAUACGGCCCAGACUCCUACGGGAGGCAGCAGUGGGGAAUAUUGGACAAUGGGAGGAAGCCUGAUGCAGAGACGCCGCGUGGGGGAUGCCGGCCUUCGGGUUGUAAACUCCUUUCGACCGCGAGGAAGCCACCUGGUUGGAAGGGUGGUGACGGUAGUGGUAGAAGAAGCACCGGCUAACUACGUG
rnacentral:rRNA from 1 species